rnacentral:rRNA from 1 species
GAUGAACGCUAGCUACAGGCUUAACACAUGCAAGUCGAGGGGAAACGACAUUGGAAGCUUGCUUCCGAUGGGCGUCGACCGGCGCACGGGUGAGUAACGCGUAUCCAACCUGCCCACCACUUGGAGAUAACCUUGCGAAAGUAAGACUAAUAUCCCAUAUGAUGGCGAUCUGCAUGGAUUGUCAUUGAAAGAUUCAUCGGUGACGGAUAGGCUCGCGGGGCAUUAGCUAGACGGCGGGGCAACGGCCCACCGUGGCGACGAUGCCUAGGGGUUCUGAGAGGAAGACCCCCCACACUGGGACUGAGACACGGCCCAGACUCCUACGGGAGGCAGCAGUGAGGAAUAUUGGUCAAUGGGCGGAAGCCUGAACCAGCCAUGCCGCGUGAAGGACUAAGGCCCUAUGGGUCGUAAACUUCUUUAGACGCAGAGCAAUAAGGGUCUCGUGAGAUCCGAUGAGAGUAUGCGUAGAAUAAGCAUCGG